AUAACUAAACAUUAAAUUUCAUUUUUAUGGAUCUGUCAAAAAUGAAGAAAAUAUUUUUUUCUUAAGAUUUGAAAUAAGCAGUAGAAGAUGUUCAUACAAUUGAUAACGGAUUAUAUGCAAAAUGACACAAUUGUCCAUUAUUUUUGAAGUAUUCGGGUGUAUGAAACGUUGAUAAUGAAUAUGAACAAUAUUAGUUAGACCCAAUUGCAAUUGAAGAAAGUGAAAAGCAUGAACAAUUGCUUCAAUUGCUGGGUAAUAGGCUUUCUAUUGGAUUGAAUUUGAAAAUGUUAAAAAUAGAGUAUAAAGUUGUUUUUAGUAGUAAAUGAAUGGAGAUACAUAAUGACAUGGGCGUGACAGUGUAUGUAAUGGUACGUAAAGAAGAGAAAGAUUUUGAAAACUAUCCAUUAUGUGUUUCUGUAUUUGAUAAAGUCGUUGAAUAUGAAAAAUCAAACAAGAAAUUUGAAGGCGGGAGGUCUGACUGCGGGCUGAGUUCGGACAGUGUUGGAGCUGAUGUUGAUGAUAUAAAUGACCAAAUUGAUGCAGAUCCUAUUAAACAGAUUGAAGUUAUUACUAUAAAUGGGUAAUUUCAAGCAAAAUUUUCAGACCCAAAUCAUAAUGAAGUUUUGAUUGAUCAGGUGUAUACGAAGAAAGCUAUUUUAAAGUCGAUGAUGACACAACACGUAAUCAGAAACAAAUUUCAAUACGAUAAAGUCAAAUGUAAACGGAUAAGUAAAAUUUGUUUGAAAUCGAGUAGGUCGGCGUAUUUGCAUAAGUAUGUGAUUUAAUACAUGUUUGUAUACUUGUAUAAGUUUAUAUAUGUUUGUUUAUUUGUAUAUGUAAGUAUAUUUGUAUAAGUUUUUGUAAUGCUUGUACAUUUGUAUAUGUAAUUGUAUUUGUACACGUAUGUGAUUUCGUACAUGUUUGUAUACUUGUAUAAGUUUAUAUAUGUUUGUAUAUUUGUAUACGUAAGUAUAUUUUUAUAAAAUUUUUUAUGUUUGUACA